rnacentral:rRNA from 1 species
UGGGGAAUAUUGCACAAUGGGCGCAAGCCUGAUGCAGCGACGCCGCGUGGGGGAUGACGGCCUUCGGGUUGUAAACUCCUUUCGCUAGGGACGAAGCUUUUUGUGACGGUACCUAGAUAAGAAGCACCGGCUAACUACGUGCCAGCAGCCGCGGUAAUACGUAGGGUGCGAGCGUUGUCCGGAAUUACUGGGCGUAAAGGGCUCGUAGGUGGUUUGUCGCGUCGUCUGUGAAAUUCCGGGGCUUAACUCCGGGCGUGCAGGCGAUACGGGCAUAACUUGAGUACUGUAGGGGUAACUGGAAUUCCUGGUAUAGCGGUGAAAUGCGCAGAUAUCAGGAGAAACACCGAUGGCGAAGGCAGGUUACUGGGCAGUUACUGACGCUGAGGAGCGAAAGCAUGGGUAGCGAACAGG